GACGAACGCUGGCGGCGUGCUUAACACAUGCAAGUCGAACGGAAAGGCCCUGCUUUUGUGGGGUGCUCGAGUGGCGAACGGGUGAGUAACACGUGAGUAACCUGCCCUUGACUUUGGGAUAACUUCAGGAAACUGGGGCUAAUACCGGAUAGGAGCUCCUGCUGCAUGGUGGGGGUUGGAAAGUUUCGGCGGUUGGGGAUGGACUCGCGGCUUAUCAGCUUGUUGGUGGGGUAGUGGCUUACCAAGGCUUUGACGGGUAGCCGGCCUGAGAGGGUGACCGGCCACAUUGGGACUGAGAGACGGACCAGACUCCAACGGGAGGCAGCAGUGGGGAAUAUUGCGGAAUGGGCGGGAGCCUGAUGCAGCAACGCCGCGUGCGGGAUGACGGCCUUCGGGUUGUAAACCGAUUUCGACUGUGACGAAGCGUGAGUGACGGUAAUGGGUAAAGAAGCACCGGCUAACUACGUG
rnacentral:rRNA from 1 species